AUAAGCCCCACCUUCCCAGUUCUCCUUCUCACUGUCCUAAUUUGCAUUAAUUAGUAAUGCAAGAGGGGAGAGAGACACAAAGGCAUUUGUAUUCACAAGCGUGCUUUACUGUACCCAGCUACUUUUGGUAUUGUCAAGGAAGAACCCCAUAAACUUCAAAACACUGCAGGCGUGCACACUGAAGACAGCUGAUUGCUGCUAAACACCUUUCAAAACAAGUGUUAGCUUCCUUGCUGACAACCACCCAGUUUCCAAUAAUGUGUCACACUAUCAGUGCUGGGGACAGAACCCUGUCCCUACAUGACUUGCGGGGAUUGGCUCAGUGAUGCGUAACACACCUGGAAUUCAGGAGGCCACAAUGAAGGCGUGUGUGGCAUAAACAGUGCAAAGAGUAAGCUACUUCUUCACAUAGAAGACUAGAAACAGCAAUGAAAAUAACUACGUCAGCUUCAAACACAGUACAACCUGAAGACUUUCAAGAUGGUAUUGAGCUGCACUGCGAACAACAGUAGCCAAAGACAGGCCACAGACUCAAAAUAGCAGUGAUUUACUAGAGAUCCACC